AAGAAUCGCCCCGUUUUUUGAAAUGGGUUCUAUUCCCAAACCGUGUUAACAUACCUUUGUUGCUUUGGCAGGCCGCUUUCGGGCGUUGGCUCCGGCUAACUGCGCCUGCCAGAGGACCCAAACUCGUUUGUUUAGUGAUGUCUGAGUAUUAUAUAAUAGUUA
rnacentral:misc_RNA from 1 species